rfam:Aedes aegypti strain Liverpool supercont1.285 genomic scaffold, whole genome shotgun sequence.
GGCUCGGUAGCUUAGUUGGUAAAGUGUUCGUCUAGCAUACAAGAGUCCCGGGUUCAAAUCCCAGCCGUGCAC